AUUGAACGCUGGCGGCAUGCUUUACACAUGCAAGUCGAACGGUAACAGGCCGCAAGGUGCUGACGAGUGGCGAACGGGUGAGUAAUGCAUCGGAACGUGCCCAGUCGUGGGGGAUAACGCAGCGAAAGCUGUGCUAAUACCGCAUACGAUCUAUGGAUGAAAGCGGGGGACCGUAAGGCCUCGCGCGAUUGGAGCGGCCGAUGUCAGAUUAGGUAGUUGGUGGGGUAAAGGCCUACCAAGCCGACGAUCUGUAGCUGGUCUGAGAGGACGACCAGCCAGACUGGGACUGAGACACGGCCCAGACUCCUACGGGAGGCAGCAGUGGGGAAUUUUGGACAAUGGGCGCAAGCCUGAUCCAGCAAUGCCGCGUGCAGGAAGAAGGCCUUCGGGUUGUAAACUGCUUUUGUACGGAACGAAAUGGCUUCCAUUAAUACUGGGGGCUAAUGACGGUACCGUAAGAAUAAGCACCGGCUAACUACGUGCCAGCAGCCGCCGCAGUAA
rnacentral:rRNA from 1 species